AUAUUUUCUUGAUCUGGAGAACUCACCUUUCCAGUGAUACCCCAUCCCCCAACCAUCUUCUUAUUGUAUGAAUAAAUGGAUUUCAACGAAAGCUAAAUAUAGAAUUAAAGCUUUUUUUCACUAUUUGCUAAAAAGCAAUUGCGUAGAACUUAAUUAAUGAAGUGUACUAACACAGGUUAAAAAUAUGAGUGUAAAAUUUAUUAAAAUUGGAGAAACGCGCAUUUUAAAUAAUCGAAUUUUUGAACUUUAAACGCAAAUAUCUUAAAACCCAUAAUGCAGCGACAACUAUAUAUGUAUAUAUAUUCUUGAUCUGGACCUCGAAAUCGGGGGAUCACAUUCUAAAUCCGAGCAGAUUAUAUUUUUCUGUACCGCGUAAAUGAAGCAAUGCAGAAAAAUGCCGAGGAAGUCGAGACACGUAUGUGAAAACAAUUGGCAACACCAAAAGUGAAAAGUAACACACGUUUCAGUGCAUAAAACGAAAUUAAUAAAUAUUAUUAAAUAGAAGAAUUUAAAACUGCAGUAUAUAAAAUAAUAUAAAAAAAUUUAAAUAUUUAAAAAUUUGUUACCUAGUCGAUUGGUGUUAAUUUUUGAAUGUUUGGCUUUGAUUGCAACAUCGACCGCGUCUAUAGCGUAAACUGCUGCGAGGUGACAACAAACGUAAUGCCUGUUGAUUAAAUUAAAGAGUCGAAAAACGUACUUAAAAAAGUGGCAAAUUAAUCUAUUUGAACAAACGCACCAUACAAAUACAGCUAGAUGCACUCAGAGUAAGUAUACUCAACAAAAAAGAACCAUUCAAGCUCGUUUCAGAAAUACAACUGACCAUAACUUACAAACAUAU